AAAGUUGAUACUAUACAGCAAACAAUGCAAAAGAAUGAGCAGAAACUAGAAGAGGUGGAACUUAGAAUAGUACAAAAUGAAAAGAAACUGGAACUAAUGGAUCACAGGAUGAUGACAAUAAAUAAAAGAUUAGAAGAACAGAUUAUCCACCUAGAGAUGGACCGCACUGCCUAUUACUUGAGGUUUCAAAAUAUCAUUGAAAGUAGAGAUGAAGAUCUAAAUAUGCUUAUGGCAGAAUUACUUGUGUCAGCUUUACAAAGGGAGAUCCAAGAGAUCCUGCUAGAAAUCAAUGAGGCCUAUAGAGUUCAAACGAGCUAUGCUUGAAGAAACAGGCUAC